GGGGAUGUAGCUCAAUGAUAGGGUGUUUGCCUAGUGUGCACAAGGUCCUGAGUUCAAUCCCCAGUACUACCA
rnacentral:tRNA from 1 species